rnacentral:lncRNA from 1 species
UAAGGCGCGAUACCUUUACCUCGGUCGCUCGCCGGCUCGCUCGGUCCCGGCUCUGUGGAAAUAGUGGGGUGAGAACUACAACAAAGUUCCCAGUGGGUUCAGCCUCAACAUCACCGACUUUCCCACUAGGACUAACUCAGGCAUAAUAGAAAGAAUAAGCUGUAUAGUAACCAAUCUAUAACAUGAUGCUAAUAUGCCUGAACAAUAAGCAAGAAGUAUGCUCAACAUCAAAUAAAUGCAGAUUAUGCAAACUCAUUCGUUCUUUGACUUUACUUUGUACUUUGUUCUUUAUUCUUUGCUCUUUGUUCUUUGUUCUUUAAUCUCAAGGCUAACCCGGAGGUUUCGCCACAUUAGCUUGCUUCACAUUAAGUCUAUCAUCGCAGGAACUCACCCGCUAGGACCGUCCUUUGGGUUUACUCCAACCCGUGAUGCAUAACUCCGGAGCGCAUCGCCCGAGGGGGAGCGACCGCCCUCGAGCACAGAACUCAUAGCAAGUAUGAUCAUAUCCUUAACUCAAAGGAUUAUAAGUUCAAUCUUGACUUUACACUAGCUCUAGUGUUCAUUACAUCACUUUAUGUUGCAAACUCAUGCAAUCACGUUCUUUACAUUAUCCUUUACUUUUGCUGACUCUAGCAAUUAUAUUCUUUACAUUCUUUACUUUUGGCUAUCUCUAGCAUUUCACGUUCUUUACUUCCCACAUUGCGUUAACUUUAAGCAUUGUCAUUUUCAGCAUUCUUUACAUUACAUUGGUUCUUUACCUCACACUAUCUCUAGUGUCAAUUCACAUUAGCUUUAUCGAAUGCCACUCGAUCUAUGUUAUUGUGUCACUCAGUUCUUUUGCUCACUUUGGGUGCUCACUUUCUCUCAUGCAUACAUAGGGUUUUGACAUUCAUUUGGUUCUCUACCAUCAUUAUAAGCAAGUUGCACUCACAAUCAUGCUAUCAUCACAUUCUUAUCAUUACUUCACCCUAAUAUGCAUGCAACAAUAUAUAUAACACAUGCUCAAAUGAAUGACACAUUNCGACCUUGUCUGCGAUCGACGUCGAGGUGCCAUUGCUUCCUGAAAAGAAGCAACUCACAUUAGUCACUUGACCAACAUUACUUGACCAUACCCAAUUAGGCGAAAGCAACAUGCACAUUCAUCCUUGCCUCAAGCGUCAUGUCGUCGGCCGCCUGACACAACACUAGAAGUAGAGGAUAAACGAAAAUUAAACUUAGCCUCUAAUCACAUUAGAGACGUUCCAACUUAACCCAAUCACAUGCUUUCGCUAACUUUGAUCCCACGUCACUCACGUUUCCUAGAUCCUUAAGGCCUUCCAAUCCUAUAGGUCUCUAGGUCCAUUCCUAUUCUUUCACUCUUGUCUCUGAUACCAACUUAUCUGUCACGCUCCGGGACCGAUACCAAUUUGGCCCGACCCGAGCACGUCAAACAGACGCCGAACGGACAGAGUUUCCCCUAUCCGCCCAAGGCUCAUCACAUGUACAAAAUUCAAACAAGAAUUGCACUAACGGAAACAUACACAAAAGGCUUACACGAGGGUAAGCAAUAGCCAUUAGUGAAAGAAAGGAAAACUAAACAUCUACACAAGUAAUAUGAUUCAUUUUAGAUCACAUACAUUGCAUCCAUUUCUUACAUUUAGGAUUCUUUGCAUUCGUUACAUCAUUGCAUCAUUUCUUUCGUACAUCACAUUUACCUCAAAAUGCACAUUACAUUCUUUUCUUUACAUCACUAAUCAUCAUGUACAAAAGAUGAACAUAGGGUACUUUACUACAAAAUAAAACCCAACUUUGGUGGCCUCUGACUAAGGCGCGAUACCUUUACCUCGGUCGCUCGCCGGCUCGCUUGGUCCCGGCCCUGUGGAAAUAGUGGGGUGAGAACUACAACAAAGUUUCCAGUGGAUUCGGCCUCAACAUCACCGACUUUCCCACUAGGACUAACUCAGGCAUAAUAGAAAGAAUAAGCUGUAUAGUAACCAAUCUAUAACACGAUGCUAAUAUGCCUGAACAAUAAGCAAGAAGUAUGCUCAACAUUAAAUAAAUGCAGAUUAUGCAAACUCAUUCGUUCUUUGACUUUACUUUGUACUUUGUUCUUUAUUCUUUGCUCUUUGUUCUUUGUUCUUUAAUCUCAAGGCUAACCCGGAGGUUUCGCCACAUUAGCUUGCUUCACAUUAAGUCCAUCAUCGCAGGAACUCACCCGCUAGGACCGUCCUUCGGGUUUACUCCAACCCGUGAUGCAUAACUCCGGAGCGCAUCGCCCGAGGGGGAGCGACCGCCCUCGAGCACGGAACUCAUAGCAAGUAUGAUCAUAUCCUUAACUCAAAGGAUUAUAAGUUCAAUCUUGACUUUACACUAACUCUAGUGUUCAUUACAUCACUUUAUGUUG